AUGGAAAUCUCCAUCUCUACCGCCAUCUUUCUGUUGGAGGAAGACAACAAUCUCUCUGGCCUAAGCUCAGAAGAAGAAGAAAAAUCAGCAGGUAACACCAAAGUUACGGAACAAGCCCCCGUCCGCUCCGGCGGGACUCACGCUGUUGAAUGCGGGACGGAGCGAAGGCAGGCAAGGCGUUCCCCUGGCGGGCGCGGGCCGGCACUGCAGCGCUCCCGUCGCCAAAGCCGGCCAAAAGCCCAGGGAGCGAGGCGAAAGUUCGCGCCUUCCACACAGAGGAAAAGAGGGAGCGGGAAAGGGGGCGGGGCGGUGGCUCGCACGCCCACGCCUUCCACUCCGGGCUGGGGAGAAACCGCGUGGACCUCGACCAGCCAUACAUACUUCCUCUUUCUUCUCCCUGAGACGGCAAUCCAGUGAUGCAUGUCCAGUGUCCACUCAGAAGGAAAAGCCUCCAAAGGGGCAGCUGCUGUAAAUCCUUCGCAGAAAAGAACAACGAAGGUCCUACACCACCUUUACGAGGGCCCUACUGGAUCCAAUCAAAAGCCCAUCUAGUCUAGCAUUGCUACAGUGGCCAGCCACACGCCUUUCACAAGCCCAUUAGCAGACCACACAGUGGCCAGCCACACGCCUUUCACAAGCAGACCAUAAACACAACAGUAGGAACUGAUGAUGCACUGGAGGUACUCUGUAACCACCCUGGGCACAGUAGCCUUUGAUGGUCUGAUUCUCCAAGCAUUUCUGUAAUCCUUUCUCAGAGAUCCAAGCUGGCAACCAUUACUGUCGUUUCUGGAAGUAAAUCCCACACUUUAACUAUGGCCUGUGUGAAGAAAUACUUUCAGCUGGUUAAUUAUUAUGUGCUGUAAUCUCACUUCAGACUUGGGGGACCCUAACAGGGUUUUCAAGGUACCUGAGACAUUCAAGGAGCAGUUUACCAUUGCUGCCCCUGUUGAGUUACCAAGGCUGAGUGGAGUUUGAACAAAGGUGUCCUUAGUCCUAGUCUCACUCUAUCUACAACACCAUAGCAGUUUGCUAUUACCUAAGAGUAAAUCCCAAUGAGAACAUAAGAUGUACAGCCCAAAACGUUUCACCUCACAAUAUGCUUUGCAGCAUGUCUACAGUCUUUAUGCUGAAAAAAACAAACAAACAGAAAGAGUGGAAAACAAACUACUGUAUUUUUCCAUGUAUAAGACACUACUUUUUCCUAAAAUCAUUACACUAAAAAUUGAGGGGCAUCUUUUACACAGAAGUAAGCUGAGAUAGCUGAGGAGAGAACAAAAGGCCCAUACCUUUCCUCUGUAAACAGGCUUUCUUCAGUCAGGAGGCUUAGCUUCCUACAUUCAGGAGACUUCGCUUCCUCCAAGCAGGAGCCUUAUGGAACUGACAUUAGCUGAUGUUGAACAAACCAACUGGAACACAC
rnacentral:lncRNA from 1 species